rnacentral:rRNA from 1 species
AACGAACGCUGGCGGCGCGCCUAAUACAUGCAAGUCGAGCGAGAAGACGUAGCAAUACGUUUGUAAAGCGGCGAACGGGUGAGGAAUGCAUGGGUAACCUACCCUCGAGUGGGGAAUAACUAGCCGAAAGGUUAGCUAAUACCGCGUACGCUCCUUGGACUUCGGUUCAGGGAGGAAAGCGAUACCGUGGUAGUCGCGCUCUUGG